GGCUCAGAUUGAACGCUGGCGGCAUGCUUUACACAUGCAAGUCGAACGGUAACAGGUUAAGCUGACGAGUGGCGAACGGGUGAGUAAUGCAUCGGAACGUGCCCAGUCGUGGGGAUAACGCAGCGAAAGCUGUGCUAAUACCGCAUACGAUCUACGGAUGAAAGCGGGGGAUCGCAAGACCUCGCGCGAUUGGAGCGGCCGAUGGUCGAUUAGCUAGUUGGCGGGGUAAAAGCCCACCAAGGCGAUGAUCGAUAGCGGGUCUGAGAGGACGAUCCGUCACACUGGGACUGAGACACGGCCCAGACUCCUACGGGAGGCAGCAGUGGGGAAUUUUGGACAAUGGGGGAAACCCUGAUCCAGCCAUGCCGCGUGAGUGAAGAAGGCCUUCGGGUUGUAAAGCUCUUUCGGCCGGGAAGAAAUCGCACAGGCUAAUACUCUGUGUGGAUGACGGUACCGGCAUAAGAAGCACCGGCGAACUACGUG
rnacentral:rRNA from 1 species